rnacentral:rRNA from 1 species
GCAAGUCGACGGUGAAGAGGAGCUUGCUUCUUGGAUCAGUGGCGAACGGGUGAGUAACACGUGAGUAACCUGCCCUUGACUCUGGGAUAACUGCUAGAAAUGGUAGCUAAUACCGGAUACGACCCUCGGCCGCAUGGUCAGGGGGUGGAAAGAAUUUUGGUCAAGGAUGGACUCGCGGCCUAUCAGGUAGUUGGUGAGGUAAUGGCUCACCAAGCCUACGACGGGUAGCCGGCCUGAGAGGGUGACCGGCCACACUGGGACUGAGACACGGCCCAGACUCCUACGGGAGGCAGCAGUGGGGAAUAUUGCACAAUGGGCGAAAGCCUGAUGCAGCAACGCCGCGUGAGGGACGACGGCCUUCGGGUUGUAAACCUCUUUUAGUAGGGAAGAAGCGAAAGUGACGGUACCUGCAGAAAAAGCACCGGCUAACUACGUGCCAGCAGCCGCGGUAAUACGUAGGGUGCAAGCGUUGUCCGGAAUUAUUGGGCGUAAAGAGCUCGUAGGCGGUUUGUCGCGUCUGCUGUGAAAUCCGGAGGCUCAACCUCCGGCCUGCAGUGGGUACGGGCAGACUAGAGUGCGGUAGGGGAGAUUGGAAUUCCUGGUGUAGCGGUGGAAUGCGCAGAUAUCAGGAGGAACACCAAUGGCGAAGGCAGAUCUCUGGGCCGUAACUGACGCUGAGGAGCGACAGCAUGGGGAGCGAACAGGAUUA